rnacentral:tRNA from 1 species
GAGGGUAUAGCUCAGUGGUAGAGUGCAUGCUUAGCAUGCACGAGGUCCUGGGUUCAACCCCCAGUACCUCCA